rnacentral:SRP_RNA from 1 species
UCGUGCUAGGUGGGGAGCCAGCGGUGCCUUGUAACCCGCAAUCCGCUAUAGCGGGGCUGAAUUCCCACUUGAGAUCUGAGUUCUUUUGGGACUGUUUUUAUCAGGUAGUGUUGAUAGCUGGGUCCUGCGCGGCAGAGAGCUAUAAAUCCCGUCAGGUCCGGAAGGAAGCAGCGGUAAGUAGUAAACUCUGGGUGCCGCAGGUUCGCCUGGCUUGAGCUGGCUGUUAGGGAUAAGCCAUGAGGCAGGAGCGAGAGUGGGUGCACGA